rnacentral:rRNA from 1 species
UACGUAGGGUCCGAGCGUUGUCCGGAAUCAUUGGGCGUAAAGGGCGCGUAGGUGGCGCGGCAAGCGUGCGGUGAAAGCUCGGGGCUCAACCCCCGAGUCGGCCGUGCGAACUGCCGCGCUCGAGCACUGUAGAGGCAGGCGGAAUUCCGGGUGUAGCGGUGGAAUGCGUAGAGAUCCGGAAGAACACCGGUGGCGAAGGCGGCCUGCUGGGCAGUGGCUGACACUGAGGCGCGACAGCGUGGGGAGCAAACAGG